AAUUAUGCAUACACCUUCAAUAGAAAGCAAAUUUGGUGGGAUCAAUAGGGCCCUGUGUAAUGACACUUGCAGCGCUGUUUGUACACUUGUGCUAUUUGGAGUACAAACAAAACUGUUUUCAAGAUCGUCAACAAUUAUGUUUCAGAUAAACUCAAUGACAGGAAGGUAUACACUGGGAUAAUAACUUCCAAAAAAUUAUGGGCAGUAUUAUUUAUGAAUAAUUUUGUAAAAUUGCAUAGCCUUCCUUGGUCAUGUCAACAGCAAUUGACCACUUCAAAAUAUUGCAUCCGAUUGCAUUUCUCGAUUGUUGCCUCGCGUAUGACGUAAAAAAUGCAUCGCAUUACGAGAUUGCAAUAAAACUCGAGGAAUACAUACUUGUACUGAUGAGAGAACACGUUUAUUUGAUAUGUUAAUUACAGGUUCAAUAAAUUAAUUAAAUAAGUACA